CACUAGUGUUUAGUGUUGAUGUGACGCAACAACUAUCAGCUGGUUUUGUUUUGCUUCAUUUCUCUAUGCUCCGCUUGAAUUCAGAAACGUACAAAAAACUUGCGUUUUAAUUCAUUAAUGCGAGACAAAAGGAUAACUAAAGUGCCGGAGUAUAUUUGCCAUCCACGACACAAUUUUUCUCCAGUAGGUAUUCGGUUUGCCACCAUCUUUCCGAGAGGUCCAACCGAUCCCAGGCCUCCGAUCCAGGGCGGAGGGAGGGAAGGAGGUCGUUGGGAAUCGGGAUGGAGACCGGAGAGGGAGCCGACGGUCCUGGCGGCCCGGGGCUGUGCUGCGCCUCCUUCAACCAGGACUCCACGUCAUUGGCUGUGGGCACCAAAACUGGAUACAGACUCUUCUCCGUGACCUCAGUGGAUAAACUGGACUGCAUUCAUGAAAGCACAGAAACUCCAGACGUGUAUAUCGUGGAAAGGCUUUUCUCCAGCAGCCUGGUGGUGGUGGUGAGUCAGUCCAUGCCACGUCGCAUGAAUGUCUACCACUUCAAAAAGGGCACAGAGAUUUGCAACUACAGCUAUUCGAACAACAUCCUUGCAGUGCGCCUUAACAGACAGAGACUGGUUGUUUGUCUGGAGGAAUCCAUCUAUAUCCAUAACAUAAAGGAUAUGAAACUUCUUAAGACCCUUCUCAACACACCAUCCAACCCAUCAGGUCUGUGUGCUCUCUCCAUCAACCAUUCCAACUCUUUCCUGGCAUACCCAGGCAGUGACACCAUCGGCGAAAUUAUUGUCUACGACGCCAACAAUCUGAGCACUGUGACGAUGAUCCCAGCCCAUGAUAGUCCCCUGGCUGCCAUUACCUUUAACGCCUCCGGCACUAAACUGGCCAGUGCCUCUGAAAGGGGCACUGUGAUUCGAGUUUUCUCUAUACCAGAGGGUCAGCGUUUGUUCGAGUUUCGCCGGGGAAUGAAAAGGUAUGUCAACAUCAGCUCCCUUUCCUUCAGCCCGGAUGCUCAGUUUCUCUGUGCCUCAAGCAAUACAGAGACGGUGCACAUUUUCAAGCUCGAACAGCACAGCCCAAGUGGGGAGGAAGACAAUCCCUCUUGGUCAACAUAUGUAGGUAAGAUGUUCACAGCAGCCAGUAGCUACCUCCCUGCACAGGUGUCAGGCAUGAUGAGUCAAGACCGAGCCUUUGCUACCGUCCGUUUUCAAAUGGCCGGUCAGAAGAAUGUCUGUGCCCUGGCAACAAUCCAGAAGCUUCCACGAUUGCUUGUGUCCUCUUCUGAUGGGCAGCUAUUCAUCUAUAACAUUGAUCCUCAAGAUGGUGGCGAGUGCACUUUGGUGCAGAAGCACAGGUUGUUCGGAUCAGAUAAUGAGCAGGACGAGACAGAAAAAUCUGAACUUUCAGAACCACCACAAGCAGGCCAGUCUUAUGCCGCCACUGUGGCCAUUCCCACCUCUGGACCCGUCACGGCCACUCUCACAGGGUACUCAGAGGACGGGGGAGCUAAAAAGGGUGAAGUGAUUCCUGAACACGAGUUUGCUGCCGGGCCCGUGUGCCUGGACGACGAAAAUGAAUUUCCUCCCGUGAGCAUUCGCUAACCUCCCCACGUCAGACUACACAGUGUUACGUUCCAGUGUAUGGGAUUGUUUUGUCCCUCUGUCCACAAGAACACAACUAAAUAAAUUGGUGCCGUGACGGAUCUGGGAGAGGCAAAGGGAGACGACCGUGAGAGGGUAGAGAUCAGGUGGAGGCCACCGCUGUCACAGGAGGAUCCUCAGUGCAUGAUCAAGGACAAAUAAAAAAAAAAGUUUAACUUCAGGGUGCUAAUUUAUUAACGGAACGUUGAAAUGCUAAUAUCUUAAUUUCAUUUGGUCAGGGAUUUGGGUCAUUGUCGCUCAAACCCCUGAAGGGUGUGUUAUAAAUAAGGUGCAUGACUGAAAUAUAAUCAUAUAUUGUUAUAGUUGCGUAAGACAUAUUAAUUAAGUCGUAAUACUGUAGCAUUUUAUUAUUUUAAUUUUUAACACCCAUCAUAUUAAAUCUUAAGAGAUGAAUUACUUUUUUAUAUAUUGUUUUGCUGUAUUGACACUUAAUAUGUUUACAUGUCGCCAUCCUGAAUACUAACACACCGGGAUGUUUUGUAUGUAUGUGCCUAUGAUAUACCUUGUAAGAGUGCAAAGUUUUUUGCUGGAUUGCUCAAGACCAAAACAUAAAAAGAGAGAUAAAUAUGUAGGAAAUAUAUUAGGAAUGAAAAUAUGCAAAGCA